ACUCCUACGGGAGGCAGCAGUGGGGGAUAUUGCACAAUGGGCGAAAGCCUGAUGCAGCAACGCCGCGUGAGGGAAGACGGUUUUCGGAUUGUAAACCUCUGUCUUCGGUGAAGAAACAAAUGACGGUAGCCGAGGAGGAAGCCACGGCUAACUACGUGCCAGCAGCCGCGGUAAUACGUAGGUGGCAAGCGUUGUCCGGAAUUACUGGGUGUAAAGGGAGCGCAGGCGGGGAGACAAGUCAGCUGUGAAAACUAUGGGCUUAACCCAUAAACUGCAGUUGAAACUGUUUUUCUUGAGUGGAGUAGAGGUAGGCGGAAUUCCGAGUGUAGCGGUGAAAUGCGUAGAUAUUCGGAGGAACACCAGUGGCGAAGGCGGCCUACUGGGCUCUAACUGACGCUGAGGCUCGAAAGUGUGGGGAGCAAACAGGAUUAGAUACCCUGGUAGUCCACACUGUAAACGAUGAUUGCUAGGUGUGGGGGGGCUUACCCCUUCCGUGCCGCAGCUAACGCAAUAAGC
rnacentral:rRNA from 1 species